rnacentral:rRNA from 1 species
AGUGAACGCUGGCGGUAGGCCUAACACAUGCAAGUCGAACGGCAGCACAGUAAGAGCUUGCUCUUACGGGUGGCGAGUGGCGGACGGGUGAGGAAUACAUCGGAAUCUACUUUUUCGUGGGGGAUAACGUAGGGAGACUUACGCUAAUACCGCAUACGACCUACGGGUGAAAGCAGGGGAUCUUCGGACCUUGCGCGAUUGAAUGAGCCGAUGUCGGAUUAGCUAGUUGGCGGGGUAAAGGCCCACCAAGGCGACGAUCCGUAGCUGGUCUGAGAGGAUGAUCAGCCACACUGGAGCUGAGACACGGUCCAGACUCCUACGGGAGGCAGCAGUGGGGAAUAUUGGACAAUGGGCGCAAGCCUGAUCCAGCCAUACCGCGUGGGUGAAGAAGGCCUUCGGGUUGUAAAGCCCUUUUGUUGGGAAAGAAAAGCAGCAGGUUAAUACCCCGCUGUUCUGACGGUACCCAAAGAAUAAGCACCGGCUAACUUCGUG